GCCGCCAUAGCUCAGUCGGUUAGAGCGUGGGCCUAAUAAGCAGAAGGUCGCAGUUUCGACCCCUGCUGGCGGCA
rnacentral:tRNA from 1 species